UAGUUUACGAAAGUAGGGCGGAAAGAACGUUGCGACUUGCGUGGCGCUAAUAGUAUUGUCGCGAAGUCAAUAUAUUCUUUUUCAUUAUCCUAGGCAUAUUCUUCUUCUCCUCAAUUCAACAUAUACAAUUCUCUCACGUAACUAAGCAAAAUUCAUCGAAAAAACCCGACAAUGGCCAAAGCUCUGUUGCUCUUAUCUCUCCUUCUCCUCCUCUCAACCCGUCUCUCGUAUUCGAGCCUCCAUCCUCCAACCCUCGCACAUGCGGAGUUAACAAACUACGGCUUCCCAAUCGGGCUGCUUCCCUCAUCGGUUCAAACCUACACUUUGAACCAGACCUCUGGCGAGUUCUCCGUGCAGCUCGGUGGCGCAUGUAGAUUGACUCUCCCGCCGGACAACUAUUUGGCUAACUAUUCUAAUAAAAUUAGGGGGAAGAUCGAGCAUGGUCGGAUCGCGGAACUGGAUGGUAUACGGGUCUGGGCUUUCUUCAAGUGGUGGUCCAUCACGGGGAUCCGGUCCAGCGGGGAUAAUUUGGUGUUUGAAGUUGGAAUGGCCUCCGCUAAGUUUGCCAGUAAAAAUUUUGACGAGACUCCCGAAUGCGACGGCCAGAAAUCAGCCUCUUAAUUUAGAGCUUCCCAUCUGCUGAAGAACUUAUCUUAGAGAAUCUUGGCAAGGGGGCAGUAAACUAUUACACGUUUCAUGUCAUUUGAACCACGGAAAACUCUUUUUUUUUCCUGUUUGCAUUUGCAUAUAUAGCUAGAACUUUGACUAUGUUUAAAUCCUGUGUUGCACAAGGAAAUGCUGUUGGAUUUAAUGUAAAUUUGUAAUGUUAAUGCAGGUCAAAUCUUAUAGAAAUAAGAGACAUUCAAUGUGAAUGAGACUAAAUGUAUGACAUUGAAAUAAAAUUUAAAGUUUGACAUUUGAUAUUUCAA